ACGAUUUUUUAAAGAUUCGUAUCCAUUUGGAACUUGCAGAUUUUUUUUGGUUAUAAUUUUUUUUAAUAGGUUAUUGUAUACUGAUUUAUAGCAUCGGUUCGCGUUAAUUAAAUUAUACGAUUAAUUGCAGAAUUAAUUAUUGAUUUUAUACGAUUUUUCUUUAAUUAACAAAUAGAUUAAAUGUUUUCUAUUAAGUUAUAUUCACUAAAUUAAUAUUUUCAUUCAAAAAGGCAUCUUACCAUUGCAGCGAUGUCAGAUCUACAUAUAUCAAGUAACGAAUUGCUUCAAAAUAUCCUUUCCAGAAACCGGGGUGAUAUAAUAUAUUAUGUAAUAAUGUGUAAAGAGGCACUGACAAAGAAAGAUAUGAUACUUGAGGUGCCAGCAAAAAUAUGACAACUUAGUGCUAGCAUAUUAUAUUUGUGAAGUUGUUGAUCACCAGGAUUACUCAAGUGCAAUGAGAUCUUGAAUUACAAAAAUUAUCUUUAUUAUCUUUACAUUUUCAAUGAAGUUUUGUAAAACAUGAAAGGCACAACUUGCCACAAACAUGACAUCUUGUGGAAACUAAUUUUCCCUGUUUUUGUGCCACUGAACGUCCUUCUUUUGCAGCUUCUGCGUAACAAUUUGUACAUCUUCUUCUUUUUUGCCGAUUGUUGUUAUCCUUUUCUUCACUUUGCACUAAGCUGUGCUUCAGAGAAUCUGAACGUUUUAGUGUAACGUCAUUCUUUUCUCAGCACAAGCAUCUCCCUGAAUGAGGCAAUAUGAAUUUUCCUUUUGUGAAAAUGAUUGUAAAUGAAAAGCGCAUUGACUACAGCAGUAUUCAAUAGAACCUCAAAAGCUACUUUGUGAUACCAUCUGAUGGUUUUUCUCAAGGGCGUAAAAUAGCUUGUCAUUUGGUCUAAAAGGUAUCCCUUGCUUGCCCUUGUUGUAUUCUAAAACAGCAACUGGCUUACAAAGUUUCUCUCCCAACCUGUUUUUUCGUCCAGUUGUCAUCUUUUCCAAAGUAUGUUUUGUGCUUAGGAAGUAAACAUCGCGUUUGUCCUUCCACUUUCCUACAACAAUUCCUUUCGAAUUUUGUUUACCAACCACUUCUCCUUUUUUAAGGUUUUUUUUUGUCAUGAUAUCCUUUGGUAAGUACUUUCUGUUCUUCGUUAGGGUACCUAAUAAAUGGGUAUCUCUCUGUAGAAGUGAAAUUGCCAAUGGCGCUGAUGUAUAAAAGUUAUCCACUACUAUAAGCCUUCCUUCAGAUAAAUAUGGCUCAAGUUCCAUAACUACUCUUUCAGCAAGUCCAGCAGACUGCAGUCCAGUAACUGUUUGUCCAAAAUACAGUGACAUGCUCAAUGUAUAACCAAUUGGAUUGCACAACUUGUGCAAGUAUCACUUUUGUCAGCCGUCCAAUUAUCAGAAAAAUGAACAAAUCUCAGCAAUAGUUGAAAUCUAUUUCUGCUCAUUACUUUUGGAAUGAUACAGUUUUUGUAUAAAAUGCUGGUGGACGAAUAGUCAGCUAUUUUAGGAUACUUUACAAAUCCCAUAUAAAGAAGGGCAGCAAAAAAUUUCCACAUUUAUCUUCAUUUUUACCUAUUUAUUGAUUCUGGCCGAGUGACUUGGUCGAUCAUGUUAUCCUCAUGGCAGCCAACGUGUUAAAUUGUAUUGAAGCAAUAUAAUAAUGCAAUCUACAUAAUAAUCAAAUAAUUCAUAAAAAAAAUAUCUCGCCUUCAAAUUUGAAGGUUAACACACUCCUAUUCAGCUUUCGAUCAGCUGUAACAACCGCGUAUUGAUCAAUAGGCCCCUAAAAGCCGACCUUAAACAGAGCCGUAUCGAUAAAAUAACCCCGAUUAAGUUUUUUAAUCCGAUUUUUGAAGUAGUGUAACCAAUCGAAACGUCCAAAAAAGAUUGAUUCUUUAUCCUACGCAUUACUCUUUUAUACUUUAACUUUAUCGGUUAUCGCGGUUGAUAAAAAUGGCACGUGUCAAUUACGGCCCUGCUUUGCAAUCGUCGGCACAGCGUCGGAUUUUGCGCAGUGGCCCCCUUUUUUUCUGUAACGUUCGGUAUCGCGUAUUCUCGGGGAUGUAGGUCAGAUCUUGGAGAGGAGGUUUAUGUGUGGUUUACGUUUACACACACACACUAACCUUCUAAACGAGAGGAACGCGUGCCGUGUUUUAUAAUAGAUUUUGAAAAUAUCGUGUGUGGUAAUAAUCGUCGAGAGAGAAGAAUUUGUUUUUAGUUUUUGUGCCAAAGAAAAUAAAAUAGAAAAAAGGUUAUAAAAAUGACAUCUCCAGCAAUAAACGGACAAAAAGAUGGUAAAAGUACAUCGUCGGUUUCAUCCGCUGAAGAAGUAGUCGCUUCUUCUUCUCGACAGGAAACGACGUCCUCUUCGUCUCCGUGGACUUCCUGGUGGAGAGUAUUUAAAUUUGCCAAACUUUUAAUGCAACAGGGUUGUUAAAAGAUUUGAGGAUUAGUUUGAAAAUUGUAGUCGUUAAGAUGAAAAUGAAAUAUAAAUAUUUUAAUGUUGAAGUAACUAAAAAAAAAUAUCGUGUUGAGGAUUAACUAGUCUCAAGAGAAAAUGUUUAGAUUAAUUGAAUUAAUCAUUAAGUUUUGAUUUUUAUAUAUAUCACUAUUUUUAUUUAGAUUUUUAAGUUUCGUUUAAAUCUUCCACAGUUAAAAAAAAAAAAAAAAAUAACUAAUUUUGCAACUAUAUGUGAUACUGUACAUUAUCAAUUAAUUCCGUUAAAAAAAAAACAAUAAAUUGUAAUGAAUGAUAAUAAAUAAAUGAUACGUUACCGUUAAAAAUAA